AUACUUACCUUGCAAGGGAGAGCCCAUGACCACAAAGGUGGUUUUCCCAGGGCGAGCCUGUCCCUUUGCACUCCGGACAUGCUGAUCCCUGUGAUUUUCCCAAAUGAGGGAAACUUGACUGCAUAAUUUUUGGUAGUAGGGGACUGCAUUCGCACGCUCCCAUU